rnacentral:tRNA from 1 species
GCCUUCGUGAUGUAAUUGGAAACACGUCCGGUUGGAAAUCUGAAGGACCGGAACUCGAAUCUCAGCGAGGGCA